rnacentral:misc_RNA from 1 species
UCCUGGUUUCCCAGGCAGUCCUAUCAGAGUGCCUCUUCACAGAGUAGCAACUGAUAGCAAGGGUUGCGCUCGUUAUAGGACUUAACCCAACAUCUCACGACACGAGCUGACGACAGCCAUGCAGCACCUGUGUAUAUGUCCAAGAGUUUCCUCCGGAAAGCUACAUCUCUGUAGCGGUCAUAUACAUGUCAAACCUAGGUAAGGUUCCUCGCGUAGUGUCGAAUUAAACCACAUGUUCCACCGCUUGUGCGGACCCCCGUCAAUUUCUUUAAGUUUUAAUCUUGCGACCGUACUCCCCAGGCGGAUCACUUAACGCGUUAGCUACGACACUAAUCUCGCAGAGCGAGACUAACGUCUAGUGAUCAUCGUUUACAGCGUGGACUAC